rnacentral:rRNA from 1 species
CUUGAGAGGGUAAGGCUCCCAGUAGACGACUGGGUUGAUAGGCCGGAUAUGGAAGCCCAGUAAUGGGUGGAGUUGACCGGUACUAAUAGGCCGAGGGCUUGUCCUCAGUUG